rnacentral:rRNA from 1 species
UCAACUUGAGAGUUUGAUCCUGGCUCAGAACGAACGCUGGCGGCAGGCCUAACACAUGCAAGUCGAGCGCGCCUUCGGGUGAGCGGCGGACGGGUGAGUAACGCGUGGGAAUAUGCCCGGUACUACGGAAUAGCCUCGGGAAACUGAGAGUAAUACCGUAUACGCCCUUCGGGGGAAAGAUUUAUCGGUAUCGGAUUAGCCCGCGUUGGAUUAGGUAGUUGGUGGGGUAACGGCCUACCAAGCCGACGAUCCAUAGCUGGUUUGAGAGGAUGAUCAGCCACACUGGGACUGAGACACGGCCCAGACUCCUACGGGA